GAUGAACGCUGGCGGCGUGCCUAAUACAUGCAAGUCGAGCGAACUGAUUAGAAGCUUGCUUCUAUGACGUUAGCGGCGGACGGGUGAGUAACACGUGGGUAACCUGCCUGUAAGACUGGGAUAACUUCGGGAAACCGAAGCUAAUACCGGAUAGGAUCUUCUCCUUCAUGGGAGAUGAUUGAAAGAUGGUUUCGGCUAUCACUUACAGAUGGGCCCGCGGUGCAUUAGCUAGUUGGUGAGGUAACGGCUCACCAAGGCAACGAUGCAUAGCCGACCUGAGAGGGUGAUCGGCCACACGGGGACUGGUACACGGCCCAGACUCCUACGGGAGGCAGCAGUAGGGAAUCUUCCGCAAUGGACGAAAGUCUGACGGAGCAACGCCGCGUGAGUGAUGAAGGCUUUCGGGUCGUAAAACUCUGUUGUUAGGGAAGAACAAGUACAAGAGUAACUGCUUGUACCUUGACGGUACCUAACCAGAAAGCCACGGCUAACUACGUGCCAGCAGCCGCGGUAAAAC
rnacentral:rRNA from 1 species